GCAGCCGCCGCGGUAAUACAGAGGGUGCGAGCGUUAAUCGGAUUUACUGGGCGUAAAGCGUGCGUAGGCGGCUUCUUAAGUCGGAUGUGAAAUCCCUGAGCUUAACUUAGGAAUUGCAUUCGAUACUGGGAAGCUAGAGUAUGGGAGAGGAUGGUAGAAUUCCAGGUGUAGCGGUGAAAUGCGUAGAGAUCUGGAGGAAUACCGAUGGCGAAGGCAGCCAUCUGGCCUAAUACUGACGCUGAGGUACGAAAGCAUGGGGAGCAAACAGGAUUAGAUACCCCCGUAGUCCCUGUCUCUUAUAC
rnacentral:rRNA from 1 species